UACGUAGAAGUACUCGCCAUCACUUCA
rnacentral:sRNA from 1 species